rnacentral:rRNA from 1 species
UACGUAGGUGGCAAGCGUUGUCCGGAUUUACUGGGCGUAAAGCGCGUGUAGGCGGUUGUCCAAGUUGGAUGUGAAAGCCUUGAGCUUAACUCAAGAAAUGCAUUCAGGACUGGAUGACUAGAGGACCGGAGAGGAUAGUGGAAUUCCCAGUGUAGUGGUGAAAUACGUAGAGAUUGGGAAGAACACCAGUGGCGAAGGCGGCUAUCUGGACGGUUUCUGACGCUAAGACGCGAAAGCGUGGGGAGCAAACAGG